rnacentral:rRNA from 1 species
CAGGGAUUGCCCUAGUAACGGCGAGUGAAGCGGCAACAGCUCAAAUUUGAAAUCUGGCCCUUGGGUCCGAGUUGUAAUUUGUAGAGGAUGUUUUUGGUGCGGUAUCUUCCGAGUUCCUUGGAACAGGACGCCUUAGAGGGUGAGAGCCCCGUACGGUUGAAUACCUAGCCUCUGUAAAACUCCUUCGACGAGUCGAGUAGUUUGGGAAUGCUGCUCUAAAUGGGAGGUAAAUUUCUUCUAAAGCUAAAUACUGGCCAGAGACCGAUAGCGCACAAGUAGAGUGAUCGAAAGAUGAAAAGCACUUUGAAAAGAGGGUUAAAUAGCACGUGAAAUUGUUGAAAGGGAAGGAUUUAUGACCAGACUUUUUCUGGGCGGAUCAUCCGGUGUUCUCACCGGUGCACUUCGCUCAGUUUAGGCCAGCAUCGAUUUUCGGUGGGGGAUAAAAGCUUUAGGAAUGUGGCUCCUCCGGGAGUGUUAUAGCCUAUUGUAUAAUACCCUACUGGGGAUCGAGGUACGCGCUUCUGCAAGGAUGCUGGCGUAAUGGUUAUCAAUCACCCGUCUUGAAACACGGACCAAGGAGUCGAACAUUUGUGCAAGUGUUUGGGUGUUAAACCCUCACGCGUAAUGAAAGUGAACGGAGGUGAGAGCCCUUACGGGUGCAUCAUCGACCGAUCCUGAUGUUUUCGGAUGGAUUUGAGUAAGAGCAUAACUGUUCGGACCCGAAAGAUGGUGAACUAUGCGUGGAUAGGGUGAAGCCAGAGGAAACUCUGGUGGAGGCUCGCAGCGGUUCUGACGUGCAAAUCGAUCGUCAAAUCUGCGCAUGGGG